rnacentral:tRNA from 1 species
UGCUGUUUUGGCAGAGUUAGUGUAUUAAAUUUAGAAUUUAAUUAAAUGAUUAAAUAAUCAUAUACAGUAU